CUGCUUUUCCCUGGCUGCCCAUCAGUUGGCGCCUUUUGCCGUCCUUUUUCCCCAAGCCGCUUUGGGGGCCGCGGUCUCUCCGCAGCUCGCGGGUCACAUGGCCCGCCUGAGCAAGGGGAGCCCUGCGCCUGAGCUGCGAGGCGGGAGGAGGUGAGGCUCCGGCGCACACCCAAACCGCGCUGCGCCCGCUCCUUCCGGGCCCCGGAGAUGGCGCCUCCACCGGGAUGAGCUAGCCAGCCUGGGCAAUACCAGAGGCGGCCCUCGGCGCGCGCAGGGGACCGAGCUGAUCGCCCCAACCGGGUUUGAUUUCUGAUGACUCUGGCCUGAGUUCCAGGAUGGUUUUUUCUUGGGACCAGACAUGAACAAAAGUUGACCUCAUGAGCACUUCAACCUCUCCAGCUGCCAUGCUCCUCCGGAGGCUGCGGCGACUCUCCUGGGGCAGCACUGCUGUCCAGCUCUUC
rnacentral:lncRNA from 1 species